rnacentral:rRNA from 1 species
AACGAACGCUGGCGGCAUGCCUAACACAUGCAAGUCGAACGAGACCUUCUGGUCUAGUGGCGCACGGGUGCGUAACGCGUGGGAACCUGCCCUUAGGUUCGUAAUAACUCCCCGAAAGGGGUUCUAAUACCGUAUAAUGUCUUCGGACCAAAGAUUUAUCGCCUUUGGAUGGGCCCGCGUUGGAUUAGCUAGUUGGUAGGGUAAAAGCCUACCAAGGCGACGAUCCAUAGCUGGUCUGAGAGGAUGAUCAGCCACACUGGGACUGAGACACGGCCCAGACUCCUACGGGAGGCAGCAGUGGGGAAUAUUGGACAAUGGGCGAAAACCUGAUCCAGCAAUGCCGCGUGAGUGAUGAAGGCCUUAGGGUUGUAAAGCUCUUUUACACGGGAUGAGAAUGACAGUACCGGGAGAAUAAGCUCCGGCUAACUCCGUG